AGAGAGAGAGAGAGAGAGAGAGAGAGAGAGAGAGAGAGAGAGAGAGAGAGAGAAGCCCCAAAGACCUAGCAGCGUCCAAAGCAGCCAUGUUGCAUGAGGCACAGACCAAGUGGAUUAGGCUGAUGAGACUCUUGGCGAUGGCUAUGGGGGCAGAAACCCACAGUACCAGGCGGUAGAGACCCAGGUGCACCAGCAGGACUGGAAAGAGCAAAGAAAAAGAAGUGGGUGGAAGUGAAGUCAUCUGAUAUGCCCUAGAAUUCCAGCCCCUCACUGAAGAGUCCCUUCAGAUCUCUAUACUCACCUUCUGGUCCUUCGCCAAAGCACAGCAGAUACAGCAUACAAUAAAAGAGUUCGUUACCAGCACACAUAAUGAAGAGUACGGGCUGAAGAAAGAGGAAGACCACAUCAGAUAUAGCAGACCAGGGGGAAAAGGAUAAAGUAGACAAUCUGCACAUGUGUGUGCGCACUUUCAGUGGAUAAUCAAGGAAGGAAGGAACCUACCUUGGUUAAGAGCCCGGGCUGCAUGGCCAUCAAAGGCAUCAAGGAAACCACUAAGCAGUAUAUAAGGACAGUGCAGAAAUGUCCAGGCUGACCCAGGUCGCAGACAGGCGAGUGAUCUGUAGCCUUCAGCUACAGCAACAGCAACACUGCCAGUGAUGAAGACAGCAGCCGCGCAAGUUGACCGGAUGGGACAGUGUUUUGAGGGAGAGGAGAAAAGGGAGCAGAGCCACAGGCGAGCCACAACCCCUUAAGAGCAUAAGCAGCACCCUGUAGGAGCCGAUCAAAGGCCCAGCCAGAUACUUCCAGGAAACCUCAAGGCGGCAUCCAGUGCUCAGCAUCGAAUACUCGGAGAUAUACCGCCUCUGAGCAUGAAACACCCCAUCGGGCAGGGCCACCCCUGGCAAAGCCCCCGCCCCGCCCCAAUCAAGAACCAGGCCUUUUCCUGCCCUGAAGACGUGCGCCUGGUGCCAAUACUGCUCCUUCGCAGACCCUUCCCACCCAGGCGCCCACCCAGCCCAUUACAUACCAAUG